rnacentral:rRNA from 1 species
UACGUAGGGUGCAAGCGUUGUCCGGAAUUAUUGGGCGUAAAGCGCGUGUAGGCGGCUUUGCAAGUCGGGUGUGAAAGCCCUCGGCUCAACCGAGGAAGUGCGCCCGAAACUGCAGAGCUUGAGUACCGGAGAGGAUGGCGGAAUUCCCCAAGUAGAGGUGAAAUUCGUAGAUAUGGGGAAGAACACCGGUGGCGAAGGCGGCGACCUGGUCCUUGACUGACGCUGAGGCGCGAAAGCGUGGGGAGCAAACAGG